UCCUUCCUGGAAUCCAAUGGUAUCCAUUGGAAAGAGCGGAAAAAUGCUUGCAUUUGUGUACAGGUAUUUCCCAACUUCAUUGGACAACGGGACGAGCGAGAAGGAAUUUCACAAAUACCUAAAUAAAAAACAGUCACAGCUCCAGGCUUUCACCAAAAACAAUCAAAUAUCCUAAUGUUAUUAGUGGUAUUUCUCCCCACCAGCCAACACCCCCGCUUCUGUAAAAUUCGCUCUAUUUAAUAUGCGGGGUUGUUAAAUUCCGCACUUGUUUAUAUUGACUUUUUUACAGAGGUGUCAGAGCGGCGCUGCUGUGAGCUCUGGUAGCACUGCACCCCUGAAUGUAUGAGAUAGUACAGUGUUAAAUGCAAAACCCUGAGCAGUGUCGAUGGUCAGAGGGAUCUUAGACUCCAAGUUCAUCGCUCCCUGAAAGAGACUGCACAGAUUGAUCGGGUGGUUAAGAAGGCAAAUGGCAUGGUUGUCUUUAUUAGUUGAAGCACUGAGUUCAAAAGUCAUGAAGUUGUGUUGCAGCUUUGUAAAACUUGUUAGCUCACAUCUGGAGUGUUUCAUACUGUUCUGGUCGCCCCCAUUCUCGGAAGGAUGUCCGGGCUUUGGAGAGGGCGCAGAAGAGGUUUACCAGGAUACUCCCUGGAUUAGAGGGCAUGAGCUAAUUCAAGAGGCUGGACAAACUUGUGUUGUUUUCUCCAGGCUGGGGUGAGACUGGAUGGACGUUUACAAGAUUACGAGAGGAAUAGGUAGAGUGGACAGAGGGUAUGUUUUUUCCUGGGGGUUUGAAAUGUCUGACACAUUUAAGGUGAGAGGAGAUGUGAGGGGCAAGUUUGUUUAUUUCCACAGAGUGCUAGGAAGCUGUAAACUAUGCCUGGGAUGUUAGACCCCACCAGUCACGUGAUCCCAUUUGCCCCUCCCAUUUAACCAUAGAUGUAACAAUCUCUUUGUGCAUGUUCUCAAUCUCCAGGUGGGUGGUCACGCAUCCUCCAUGUUGUGUUGGGGAAAUCUGAUGUUGGCCACUGAGUCCCGUUAACUUCCCCCCAACUGGCCUCGUUUCCUGAAGCUCCUCACAUUUGACCUGGAGCUUUAUGGGUGUUGUGUCUUCUCCCGGACUGGGGUGGGUGAGAAAGGAGAACGUCCCAGGUUGUGGGGAUCUUUGAUUUCACUGCCUGCUUUAGCGAGAGACUGGGAAGUCUCGGGGUGAGAAUGUUUCCUGUGAUGUGCUGAUCUGGACACAAGGACACACAUGCAACCUCUGCCAAGGCUCGAACUAGCAACCUUCAGAUCUCUAGAUGAACGCCUUAACCACUUGGCCACGCGCCAACACAUGUGAUAGUAGAACACAAAAGAAAGCACAAUGUUUCCCUUUAAAUUAUCCUGGUACCAAUUUGUUUGUUAUUCCUGGAAAUGUGUUCAGUACAGUUGUUGCUAACAAGGUGUACAUAAGCAAUCUCAGGAAUGAUCGGCUUUAUGUAUGAGGAGCAUUUGAUGGUUCUGGACCUGUGCUCAAUGGAGUUCAGAGGGAUGGUGGGGGUGGUGGAGGGAUGUAUGGUUAAGUAAACCUACUGAAUGCUGAAAAGCCUGGAUACAGUGGACAUGGAGUGGAUGUUUCCAUUAGACAGCGAGUCUGUGAUCUGACAGCACUGUCUCAGAGUAAAGAUGCUUCUCUUUAAAACUGAGAUGAGAAAAAAGAAAUUGGCCUUAAGGUGUCUGAUCUGUGGAAUUUGUUGCCACAGAGGUUGGUUGAGGCUCCAAUUUGGAUAUAUUUGUGACAGAUUAAUAUAUUCAUGAUUGCUGAGUAGCUUCAGGUUUACAGGAGGAAGACAGGGAUAUGGUGUUGGAAUAAAAAUCAGCCGUGGUUGAAUGAUGGGCAGACCAGAUGUAUCGAAUCACCUAAUUCUGUCUUAUGUCUUACCAUGACUGAAUGAUGGCUCCUUCUUAUCCCAUAUCGUUCUGUGAGAUGUGAGGGACAAUAAAAGAUUGUUCACUGAGAUCGUUAAAUCUGCCUUCAGUGUUUAAAUUUCAGUGAGUUUUGUUCUUAGUAACAUUAAGCAGAAAAGUUUAGUUCUCCUUUUCAUUAUUAAUGUGCUUCAUUGUCUCUCUGGUUAAAGUUAGACCUGUGGUGAGAGAUUUAUUGGAAGAAAAACACCAACUGGAGGCAAACCACGACUGAAGACGAGGGAACAGCAACAAGUGUACCAGCCCGAGGACUGAGAGCACCGACUGGAGAGAAACCAAUCUGACUCGGAGAUUCCAGUGAUUCAGUCAGGAGAAUGUUUGAUCUCAACUUUCUGCAGAUUCCUCCAAAGUGAAGGCUUUUUUUUACAUAAGAUUAAAUUUCCUCAAAUUACUGUUGAAGAUCAACAGAUGCCUGAUGCACCAGUUAUUGAGCAUUUAAUUCAGAAAACUAUGUUGUUAAUGCAGUCAGGUCAAGCUCCUGGACUUGAUGUGUAUUUGGUAGGAUUUUACAUAAAAAUUGAAAGGUUACUUUCUCGUUACCUGUUGGAAAUAUUUCAUGAAUCCUUUGAGAAGGGUAGUUUACCUUUUUAUGAAGCUUCUAUUUCUUUAAUCCUUAAGAAAGAUAAAAAUCCUACUGAACGUUCAUCAUAUAGACCUAUUUCGUUAUUAAAUGUGGAUUUGAAAACUCUCUCUAAGAUAAUGGCUAACCACUUGGAAAAUAUUUCAACUAAAAUUAUCUCGAUGGAGCCAACAGGCUUUAUUAAAGGUCGUUACUGUUUCUCCAGUGUUCGGAGAUUGAUGAACAUUAUAUAUUCAUCACUAUCUAAGGAACCCCAAUGUGUUAUCUCUUUCGAUGCAGGACAGGCAUUUGAUAGAGUUGAGUGGUCAUAUUUGUUUAAAAUUUUAGGAAAAAAUUGGUUUUGGUAAUAAUUUCAACAGGUGGAUUCAAAUGAUUUAUGAGAAUCCUAUUGCCACAGUUAUUACUAAUAAUUUCAGGUCCUUUUUUCCCCACUUUCAGUGGCACAAGACAGGGUUUUCCAUUAAGCCCUUCAUUAUUUAAUCUUGUACUGGAGCCUUUGGCCAUAAAACUCCGUGAAGCUAAAAAUAUUCAUGGUAUUUCUAUGAAUUGAACCAUACAUAAGAUUUCUCUUUACACAGAUGAUCUUUUGGUAAAAGAUUUUGGUAAAUUUUCAGGAUAUAAACUUAACUUCAAUAAAAAGGGGAUUGUUUCCAUGAAAUGCCACUGUGUUUAAAUAUAAUGAUAUUCCAUUUAGAAUUGUUCAUUCUUUUAAAUCUUUAGGUAUUAUAAUUACUAAAUAUAUAUCUUUAUAAAGAUAAUGUAGUUCCUUUAAUGGACUCCAUGAAACAACUAUUUUCUGGAUGGAAUCCACUUACUCUUGCUUUAAUAGGUCGUAUCCAUGCCGUGAAAAUGAUGAUUUUACUUAGAUUUUUAUAUAUUUUUCAAAAUAUUCCUAUCUUUUUAAAUAAAAAAAUUGAUCAAAUUGACUCACUUAUUUUGUACUUUAUUUAGAACAAUAAUUUAGAACAAUGGUUUUUUAUAUUGAAAUUUUUUAUUUAAACCUUCAAUAACUCAUCCGAUUUUUCUCCUGUGGAGAAAUAAGGGGAUCCGGUCUUGUGCAGAUUUACUUUGUGAUGGCCGAUUGAUGACUUUUGAAGAGUUAAUUAGCAAAUAUUCUCUCUCAUACACACUUACUGCAAUAUUUUCAGGUUUGACAUUUUUUUACAACAAUACUUAUCUAAGUUUCUAUAUAUGGCAGAAUCUGAUUUGUUGGAUACAAUUUUGAAUUUGAAUCCAUUAGUAAGAGGUUCCAUUGGUAGAAUUUAUAAUUUAUGUUUACUAUAAAAAGAUAUCCUCUCACUAAAGAUUAAACAAGAUUGUGAGAGAGAACUUAAUAUGACCUUUGUUAAUGAAGAUUGGUUGCGAGUUCUGAAAAUAGUAAAUUCUUCUUUGAUAUGUGCCAAUCACGGUUUAAUUAAGUUUAAAAUUGUUCACCGUUAUAAUUUAACAAAGGUGAGAUAUUCAAGAUAUUUCCUGACAUAGACAAUUACUGUGAUAGGUGUAAAACUAAAAUAGCCACUUUGUCACAUAUAUUCUGGUCAUGUUCUUCUUUAAAAUCUUUUUGGAAAUCUUUGUUUUCUACAAUUUCUAAAGCUCUGAAAAUUAAUUUACAACCUAUUACAUUGACUGUACUAAUUGGAAUAGUUCCACAUCAUAUUCAGGGUAUUGCAUCUUCACAUCAAUGUGUAAUUGCAUUUGUUACAUUGUUUGCAAGAAGGGCUAUUUUAUUAAAGUGGAAAGAUACCUCUGUCCCUACAUUAAUUCAAUGGUUUUCUCAAGUAAUGUUAUAUGUCGGUUUUGGAAAAAAAAAUGGAAGUAGAACUUUUGAUCCUUGAUUGGACUUUGAGAGAAGAUGGGGCUGUUUUGCCAAAUUAUUUAAUUUGUAUUAUUUUAUAUGGUUUCCUUCCAAUUUUAUUUUA